rnacentral:rRNA from 1 species
GGACGGGGGAGGAACACGUGGGUAACCUGCCCUUAAGUGGGGGAUAACAUUUGGAAACAGAUGCUAAUACCGCAUAGAUCCAAGAACCGCAUGGUUCUUGGCUGAAAGAUGGCGUAAGCUAUCGCUUUUGGAUGGACCCGCGGCGUAUUAGCUAGUUGGUGAGGUAACGGCUCACCAAGGCGAUGAUACGUAGCCGAACUGAGAGGUUGAUCGGCCACAUUGGGACUGAGACACGGCCCAAACUCCUACGGGAGGCAGCAGUAGGGAAUCUUCCACAAUGGACGCAAGUCUGAUGGAGCAACGCCGCGUGAGUGAAGAAGGCUUUCGGGUCGUAAAACUCUGUUGUUGGAGAAGAAUGGUCGGCAGAGUAACUGUUGUCGGCGUGACGGUAUCCAACCAGAAAGCCACGGCUAACUACGUGCCAGCAGCCGCGGUAAUACGUAGGUGGCAAGCGUUAUCCGGAUUUAUUGGGCGUAAAGCGAGCGCAGGCGGUUUUUUAAGUCUGAUGUGAAAGCCCUCGGCUUAACCGAGGAAGCGCAUCGGAAACUGGGAAACUUGAGUGCAGAAGAGGACAGUGGAACUCCAUGUGUAGCGGUGAAAUGCGUAGAUAUAUGGAAGAACACCAGUGGCGAAGGCGGCUGUCUGGUCUGUAACUGACGCUGAGGCUCGAAAGCAUGGGUAGCGAACAGGAUUAGAUACCCUGGUAGUCCAUGCCGUAAACGAUGAAUGC